GAUGAGCCUAGGUCGGAUUAGCUUAGUUGGUGAGGUAAUGGCUCACCAAGGCGACGAUCCGUAACUGGUCUGAGAGGAUGAUCAGUCACACUGGAACUUGAGACACGGUCCAGACUCCUACGGGAGGCAGCAGUGGGGAAUAUUGGACAAUGGGCGAAAGCCUGAUCCAGCCAUGCCGCGUGUGUGAAGAAGGUCUUCGGAUUGUAAAGCACUUUAAGUUGGGAGGAAGGGCAGUUACCUAAUACGUGAUUGUUUUGACGUUACCGACAGAAUAAGCACCGGCUAACUCUGUGCCAGCAGCCGCGGUAAUACAGAGGGUGCAAGCGUUAAUCGGAAUUACUGGGCGUAAAGCGCGCGUAGGUGGUUUGUUAAGUUGGAUGUGAAAUCCCCGGGCUCAACCUGGGAACUGCAUUCAAAACUGACUGACUAGAGUAUGGUAGAGGGUGGUGGAAUUUCCUGUGUAGCGGUGAAAUGCGUAG
rnacentral:rRNA from 1 species